rnacentral:lncRNA from 1 species
AAAAAAAAAAAAGAAGUUUGGUUUCAAUUUUGCUUAUUAUCGAGUGAGUAGCGGUAGUUGAACUCGUAAGCCAGAAGGACGCAAAGAAAGAUACACGCUAGCUGAUCGUCAUUUUAUAUUAUUGACUAUAUAAUCAUCAUGAGCAUUUUAGAUUUUCAGUGCAGUAGCUACUUGAAAGCAGAAAAAGAAAUGGGGUAACAGAUGGGAGAUUUGAUGAGCGUCUUGUUGAUCGAGUUUUUUCUUUUUUUACUUUUUCUUUUUGGGAGAGAGAAGUUGAUCGAGCUAAUUAUAGUGCACCGAACGACGCAAAUGAUCACUCUGUGCACGAUUGGAACUGCUACCAACUUUUCUGGUAGCGAUAACUUUUCUUGCUAAAUGUUGACAACGAGAACAUGCUGGUAGUGUUUGCCCCUGGGUCCGCAGUUUCUAACUUUAUCUGAGUCAAUCAGUUUUCACUUCAUAGUUUUGAGCUCAAUGUUCAUCCGUGUUAUGUAGCUCCGAUGGCGUUAACAGCGAGAUAGUUCUUUUGAUUGGUUUUUUGUUUUUCCUAUAGAAAAUAAAGGAGAUAUUUAUAGUUGCAACGGAAAAGUUUGCCUCUCCACCAUUUUAAGUAAUCUCUCCUGGAUGUUACAGAACAUCUAAUGGAGCCAUGUCUCAAACAAAGAUCUGGGUGUUCUUUCCCGUCGUUGUUUCUAAAUUGUGGGGCUGGUUAUAUCUUAAUCAUUAUGGUUUCUUGGGGGUGUUUGAUCUCGGGGGGACCAUUGUACAGAUGAGCUUUUCUUGCGAACAACAACAACCUCAUUUAUGCGAGGAGAUCAACUCGUGUUAAUGCAUGGUAGCGUAGCCCAAGUGGGCCCAUCCUGCUCUCUAUUUCCGCUUACCUGCUAUUUUUAUCUUGAAGAGUACAAUAAAAUAACUCGAGGGCACAUAUGAGAUGAUAGAAAUUGAUUUGGUUGGUUGCAUGGUAAAAAUCAUAAAAAACUUUCAAAGUACUUGCAUAAAUAGCAUGGCUUGUAUUAGAUAACAUAGCUUGUAUUAGAUAGGAAACUCGUGCACAAUGCUGAGAAGUUAGAAUGUUUAUUUUCUUCUGCAACUCAAAAGCUUCCUGCUUGGAUGAAAAAAAACUUGUGCUUAUUGAUCAAGACAAAUUUGAAGAAUCUUAAGCGCUAAUGAUAAUUACUUCCCACUUAUCCAAUUCUAGUACUACAUUUUUCCUAGAUUGAAAUUCUAUGCAAUGUUAGGGAGGUUCUUUUCAUCGUUGUUUAAAUUCUAUUGACAUUUCGUCAGCUUAGCAUUGCAACGGAUCCUCCGUAUGAUUUCUUGCCAUCCUAGGUGGUGUUAUCUUUCUGAGUUGAUGGUGAAACAUUCAUACCAAAUGGUAGAAGCAUUACAUUUACUAAAGUACAAUUAAACCUGCUCUAAUGUAGACCCUGUAUUUGGACCUUAGAACAAUUAUCAUUACAAAACAUAAUCAAACAAGAGUCUUUUCAUGGGGAGCUUUAAUUAUGCACUCAACUUGCUGAUUAAUUUACAGGAGAAGGCGGGUUAUUUCUUCUGCUUGGAGGACCGCGCUCUACUCUGUAGAAACUGCGAUGUGUCGGUCCACACUGCCAGCCCUUAUGUAUCGUCUCAUCAACGCUUCCUCAUCACCGGUGUGAGAGUUGCCCUCCAACACUAUCUCACCAAUGCUAAUAACAAUAGCAGCAGUAGUAACACUAACAACAGCUCCAGCAGCAACUGCGACAAACCUUUGAGCUCUCAGCCAAGAAGCACUUCUGAGACUGCCAAGAAGCUGCGCGGAGAUCCAACGGCUAGUUUUGGUAGAGAGGAGGUGGAGGCCUUUAGGUCACAGUGGCCAUGGAAUGAGAUACUCGAGAAUGUGGACUUUGAUCAGUACUAUGGUCUCUCAGAACCUGGCUCCUCCAGUUGAAAAGUUGCCGAAGAGGCAGCUGGGUCUCCUGUUUCUCCUUUAUACAGAGCGAAAGGAAAUAAGAAACAAGGAAGAAAUCAAGAAGUGAUCGCACCAAGUUGUCUGUCGGUAAUUGUUGUUACAUCUUUUUUUCUUUUUCUUUUUUCUUUUUUUCCCCAAAGAAUUCUCUGCUAAUUUAUCGGUGGAUAUGUCAUUGUUUCAGUCAUUCAUGUAUGUGUUUCUUAUGGCGUAUGUCAUGUCACUUUGUUGUUGUUUUCCAUAGGAUGAACUGUACGUGGUUGCUCGAAAAUUUGUGGAUGACCAUACUAAUCUGAUAUACCUUCAUAUAGAUUAACUUUUAAGCUCACCAUACUUGUUGCAAUGCCGUCUAUGGUUUUAUUUCUGUUUUAAGUCUAUAUGAUUAGCUAGCUUAUGUGCAUAGCACGCUUCAGAUGUUAGAGAGCCUUGAUAGAAAAAGGAACCAACAAUGACAUUAUAUGUAACUCUGGAUGAUUAUAUUGCUUAACUCAAAGAUUUUAAAAACUAGUAGAAUGUUUGUUUUUGGUGAUCAUAUGAGAUGCACCGUUUAAGCCAAACUAAUGCCUUUUAUUUCAAUGAUCGACCAAUGUUGAAAAAAAAUACACAAAUUGAUAAGAAAAGAAAAUGUAGAAUUCAGUGGGCAGUAGCAAUGUUAGGCUGAUCAGCAAAAUCCUACGCUGAUUAGCAUAUAUCAGGCAUCCAUGGAAAAUAAGGUUUCCAAACGGAAUGUAUUGAAGCAUAGCAACCACAAGGAGUCAAAGGACACAGUAUUUUGUAUUGAUAAGCGAAAAAUGUUUUUUCUAUUGGUGUAUAAAACAUUAUUAUUACACAUACAAAUUCUUGCAAGGAAGAACUUAAUCACCUAGUCUUACAAUGUUGCAGUCGAAAGACCCUCCGCAACUUUUUCUUAUUGCAUUUUCGUGGGAAAAACAAGAGUGAUAACAUCCAUCUCACAGAGGAGAGCAACCACAGUCACAAACAUGUAUACUCUAACAGUGAAAAUGGCCUAUGAAAUGGUAAUCACCAGAAAAAUAAAUCACAAUAAGAGAGCACACUGAUGGCGGACUAUCACAUUCUGCUUAGGCUACACUAUCUUCAAGCUUAUAAAUUAUUAAAAUUUAAUUUGAAAGGAAAUGGGUCAACUAAUUCCUCGGUAUUAUGCAAAAUUAGGAAAAACAUUAGCACACCAUAUCAACAAAAACAUCCUGCUUGAUAGAACAAUGAAACUGGCUGAGUUCAACAGUUACUUGUCCCGGAUUGGGGAUUAUGAAGCCGGUUCACGGUAAAACACUUAAACAAGUAUAAUUACACGGAUAAUGUUUCAUUGAAAAUGGAAAAAAACACCAUGACCAGACAGGCCCGAAGAUGCCAAACUUCUUCUUGAGCUACUCCACCUGCGAAAUUAUAUUCUUGGUAAACAUCUAUUGAAUAUAUUAUGCUGCUAUUUUUGAUGAUAUAGCAGAACCAAAAUAUAAAGAGCUAAAUUUAUUAUCUACCCAAGAAUCUCUAUUUAACAGAUGCAAACAUUGCAUACAAAAGACCAAUAAAAAAAUAAUAAUGAUCUUCAACAACGGGGUAAUCAUACAAUGCACCUGAUUCCCUCUAAAUUUUCGUUGUCCCUUGUUAUCAAUUUUGAGGUAGAUAACAAGUAGAAGCAUAGAGGAUAUAGGCAAAUGUGCUCCUUCACUGAAAGAAGCUGACUAAUGGAUGAGAAAAUUCUUAACAAGCAAAUCACAUAACUUGCAUUUCUGCACCAGCCAUCUCUUGUAAAAGUUUGGGUUAGAAAAAAAAAAAAUGGAAGGCCAAUAAGAUAGUUCUUCACCAGCCAACUGAUCUCAUGCAUUUUGUGUUAGGCCACGUGCCUUAGUUUCUGCCUAUUAAGACUGUAAUUCAACUAGAACCAACUUACGCGUGAAAACAUGUGAUAAUUUACUCGCCUUUUCUUUCUAUGGAGCCAUUUCUAGAAAGUUUUCCUCACAGAUAACCCGCAGAAAUAGUGAAUUGAUAACCUCUAAAAAAACUUUUUUUUUUCUUUUUUUUUUUUCUAAAGUAAGAAUGCAUAGAUCUAAGUUGUUAAUAGCAUUAGUAAAAGAAGUUACUCCAAAAACCCAGUACCCGUAAUUCACCAGUGCAUAACACUCAGCAUGUAAGUUACCAAUCUAUAACUCUGUAAAUGCGGUUCUAACAAGACACCCUGCUUACUCACAAAUAAAACAGUUAUACUGAGGUAAUUCAAAAAGGAACUCUUAUAGAACAAUCAAUAUAAAAUAAAUAUGCAACAAAGUAGGGAUGCAGUGUGCAAAAUCGGUAGCAAACGAUGGAGAUUCGGUUUUUUACUCAAAAAUUAAGCUCUAUUCUCACAAUUCAAGCGGUCAAAUCAGCUCCAGCAGACAAGCAUAGGCCAUAGCUCAAAUUAUCGCAAUUACUUCGGUUAGAACGGAUCAAUUCACAGAUAAAAUUCAAUAUACCUAUAGAAAAAAAUUCUCACAGAUCAUUCAAAAUGACAACCAAAAAAACCCUAAAACCCGAGCCCAAAGCGAUAGAUGUAGAAUUCGACCUCAAAAAAAAUCCUAGAUUAGAUCAUUUUCUUCCGAGAGAAAGAAAAGGUCAAAAAAGGAGCGAUUGGAUUAGAUACCUCUAGGGUGGCGGUGAGAUCAGUGAUGGUGAUGGGAUUCGGAGGAGUGGGAAUGGGGAUCGGGGCGAUUGAAGCGGUUGUAGGCGGCCUCGCCGAGGAGGUAGAUGCCGAAGGCGACGAGGGCGAUGCCGAGGCCCGGGGUGGCGUGGCGGAGGUUGUUGGUGAGCAUCGGGUGCUUCCUCCACUCGUCCCGGCGCCGGAAAAACUCCCCCGUCGCCCCCAGCGGCUUCCCCCCUCCACUCCCCAUCUCUCUCGAUCCUUCUCGAUCUCUCGGGAAAGAGAAAAAAAAAAAAAAGAGGAAACCCUAGAUCGGUAGGGACGACGAGCUGGGUGGUGUGUUUCAUUGGACGAUUUUGCCCUCAAAGUUAUUAGGAAAUUACGUGGUCAAUGGCCCUUAUCACUAGAACAAGGGCCCGGCCCGAUGAAAACGCCCAUUAUUGAAAAUGAGCUAAUGGGCCGUAAAUGGGCCUGAACGUACAAAAUCCCCAAUAUGAUAUAUUGGUGAAAAAAAGAAAAAAUUUUAAAAAAUGUUGCAACCCCCCUCAAAUGUAACCCAUUUUUUGUGUUAGCCAUUCACUCUCUCUCUCUUUUAUCGCCACUUCUUUAGUUUCUAAUUGCCAUGUUUUGAGUAUUUUAUUUUAAACUCAAUUGAGAAAUUGUUAAGAUUAACGAAUUUAUUAGCUAUCAAUUGUUAGUACUUGAUAAAAUGUGCAGUUUUACGAGCUGAAAAAAGUAUUCUAUCUAGCUAAGUUUAGCAAAGUUUUUGUUGAUUUUGAUUUUUUUUAAAAAAAAUUAAGGAAAUGCAAUCAAAAGUUCUAAAAUGGCAUACUAUUUUUAACAAGCAUACUAUUUUUUCUUCAAGCCACCAUAGUAACGAAGCUAACACAUGGUUUUGAUAUGAUUCGACUAAUAACACAAAUUUAAGUGGUCCUUGGACCCACUAAUUAAUUUUGUUGCACUCAAGCAACAAAUGGAAUAAUCCCAUUGUCCUCUUCUAAGGAAGCAACUUCUCCGUAACGACUCUCUACAAGUAAUUAUUCCCUUCAGUUUAUGAACAUAAAUUUCAAAAUCUAUACCUAAAAACUUCAUGUGAGAGUUCACUUUACUUCUCAAGUUGCUUAUCUUAAAAAAAAAAAAAAAAAAAAAAAAAAAAAAAAAAAAAAAAAAGAGGUAGAUGGUUGAUUGAAUCACACGGGUGUUCAAGUGUUACUUUUAUAUUUUAACUUCUUCUGUGAAUUCACGGUUGUUUAUGCGAGCCAUUUAAUUUAUCCUGCACAUUCGGUAUUUUUCGUGCCAUUUACGUCGUUUGUAGAUUAUUCGCUCAUGAAUAUUUGUUUCUUCUUGAUAUAUAGAAAAAUAUCAUUUUGUAAGAACAAGAAAAAUAUGCCACUUGUAGUAUAUUAAAUUGACCACUUGAGGUACAUAUCAAGCUCAAAGUCUUUGAGAUUAUAUUCUCGCAAGGUGCGAAUUUAAUAUUUUCAAAGAAUCUACGAAGCAAGCCUAAUUGACUUCACGCUUUAAAUAGUUAAUUGCAAAAUAAAUUAAAUCAAGGAUUUCGACGCGGUUUGAACUACCAUGGAUUCCAUAGAAUCUCACCAUUCCACUAACAGAUGUUUAUAAAAUAUAUUCAAGAAGUACUCAAUAUUCUUGAUUGAACAGUAAGCAAAUAUAUUUAUAUACUUUUUCUUCUUUUUUUAAUCAAGGUGUUUAUGUACAAUGAACUUGUAUCUUUGUAAGGUACACGUGGAACACAAACAAUAACAAAAAUAAUUAACAUCAGAGCUCAAAUCCUAUCAAUCUCUCAGAAUGAAUCCAAAUGCGCCAACCAGUUAUGAUUAUUGAUCUCACAUGUUUAAGUUUAGGCGACCCACAAAUGAUUGGAGCCCCUCUUAGAACUUGUUCUUUUGGUCUUGUUCAUUCAUCCAAUUGUAGGAAAAGGUCCUGACCAAAAAGCAAUUUUAAUGGUUAUGAUGUCGGUUAUGCUUUACGCGGAUUGCGGUAACAUGCCGAGCUUAAAGAGAUAGGAGGGUCUGAAUAUAGUCCUUUGGAUAUCUGAUCAAAGAUCCACUUAUUUGCAGCCUCAGUAUAAUGUACUCCAUCCCAAAUGAUGCUCUUCGUCGGAUCCUUGCACGAUUUACCGAUUAAAACAUCGAUUCCAUUCUUCAUAGCUGUAUCACCGCACCUCGCAUUCGAAUUGUAAUUGUACUUGCUGCUGCCGUCACCGCAGCAAGAUCGAAGCGGGUGCUCAAAUCCUGCAAUUAUCUGCCAAAUCUCAGCAAAGGAAUCACUACUAGGAAUCCUUGUAGUGGGACUUUGAAUAAAUAUUUUUUACCAUUCUUUUUGGCUUGGCUUAUUAGUGAGUACUUGACUGAGAAAAUAUCGACUAAUGUGAGCGCAGCGAGAGGUAGCUCCUUUCUCAGCUGGACCACUGUUUCAUUGAGCAAGCUGUUGAAUCUUCGCGCCAAAUCAUUGAACAAAAUGCUGCAUCCGGCGCGAUCCAACCGUGCCGCAUUUAACGGCACUUGCACCAGAACAUAUGGUAGGCACCCCAGUGGGCCAGUAUUAUGAAUCCAAAAAUACCUCCCCCCUAAUCUGUAUAUUCUCUGACAAACAAGCGAAGAAUCUCAACUAAUAUCCUAAAGAUUUUGCACUAAUAAGGACUAUAGUGUAGUUAUACCUUUAUAACUGUAGAAAACUCCUUUAGAGCAUUUGGGAGAUAUUCCUCUGCUGACAUGUUGCUGAAAUAUAGUGCGGUUAGGUCGUUUUGUCCGAUGUCGAUCGUGUACAGUGCUUUCGCGAUGUACCCCUCUUGAGGCACUAAAUCCUUGUAUGCUCCACCUAGUUUGUAUUCCAAUUACAAAAUAAGCUAUAACAAGCUUGAGAGUACCACCAAAUUGCUUGUUGAAACAGUUCAGAUGAAAACUGAGACAGAAACCUACCUUUUCUGUAGACCAUUUGCAACCGCGAUUUAAAUAGCAAGAACUGCUUCAGCUGCACAUCAAGAGAGAAUGGACUGUACACACCUAGAGGAAGAGUUGUGUUCUGAGGUACGAUCGUCGACAAUGCGGUAGCAAAGUUGGCGCCUCGGCUAAAGUUAGAACACAAAGAAUCGAGAUAAGCGCAAAGUCGUGGCAAUCCAAGCUCUCCAGCUGAAAUUUUUUUUACAUUUCACUCUAUGCAUUAGAAUUACAAUGGUUGAAAAGGUUUGAUAUUAGUUAGAAUAGGAGACAAGAGUUACACAACAAGUUCGUACCGACGAAGUCGACAAGGAGGCGCCCGUCGGAGAAUCUUCCAGAAGGGAACCCGAAGAAGGUCUCUCCAUACGGUAAGUUGACCGGACCGAUAGAAAAAGAAGAUGACAAGCCACCCGUAUCGGAGUUCGAGUCGCCGAAAUUGAAGAUGGCAGGAAAACUGCAUGCAGAGGAUGAAACAGGAAGCAAGAGACAUAAGAGGCAGCUGAGGAGAAAGAGCUGUCUCAUUAGUUAGUAGUAGUUACUGGAUCAGGAUGAACAGAGAGAAGGGAAGUUAUUUAGGUUGCUCCAAGUUGAGGCUAUAUAAGGGAUAGGAACAUUGGUGCAAAGGGACAAAUAAUUCCUUUGACCUCUCCAGUGGUUACAGCAUGUGCAGGAUUAGGUGGGGGAGCUACAUUGGAGGAGAAAACUAUACCUGCAAGUAGGGAACAAAGUUUCAUGGUGCUAAUCUCACCAACCCAACAUGUGCAAAAAAGAAAAGCAACCUCAUGUAGUCAUGUAGUUUGAGUUCGUUGAACUCUCAAUGUCUCUUACUUUCUUCCAUUUUUUAGGUGUUCACAUGUGAAGAACAGUGGCCCCAGGUCAUAAAAAAUGCCACAUGAUUGGUAGGUCAAUGCACACUCUUUCAUCCUGAAUCAAAAUUUUAAAACCUUCGGAUUAAAUCUGUUUCUCUAUGGUGCAAUCAAUUCUGAAUCUUCUAAAUAUAUGAACUCUUGAUUUGGAGUCAUAAUGACGAAACAUGCACGGGCCAUUAGUUUCAAAUUAUGAAUAUGAAAUUAGUGUUAGAAUUUGGUUAGCGCCGUAGUAGAGUUCCAGUUAAAUUAGGAUAAAAAUUUAAAUUUGUUAGAAAUAAACUGAUUUAAAUUAAAUGUGGGUAUAUUUUUGUUGGAGCUUUGUUUAUGGCUCCAUGCUAUUUAAUUGUUAAUUAGCCUAGGAGAGCUACGGCCUAUAUUAUCAAGAGCACUGGUGUAGAAGCUCUUUGUUGAUACGGCUGAGAGAGAUCUGUUUGGUGGUGCCUGUGACACGGGAAGAGAUUAGGUCGGGUUUAAUGCACCUAGUGCACCGGUGCAUCGAGAGAGAAUAGUCUCCUGGAUUUAUAGAACACAAGAGAGGAGUCAGAGAGAUUCGGAAAUAGGGUUCGGAUUAAAGUUAAUCUAUAUAGAAGAGAAGUCGGAUAUAAUUCUGACUUUGGUUAUUGAAUCUUAUUUCAACUGUAUUUUUUUUUUUUUUUUUUUUGUAGUUGUGCCAGCAGUAGUGUUUUUUGCUAAGAGAACGAAUUUAUGGUAAAAGUCUGAGUUGAUACUUCCGUUGCGAAAUUCUAACAAUCGAUACUGGAGCGAGUACUGAAUCAACAACAGUAAGUAUCAGAGCAAGUUACGGAUUCUCAAAAUCCGGUACGAGGACGAGAACUAAAUUCCUAACAAUUAGGUUUCAAUAUGGAAUUAGACAGCGAGAGAGCGGGAGCGAGAGGGAGAGGUUGCUUGGGAGAAAAGAAAAGCGUAAUCUGCGGACUUUAGUGUGCAAGCAAUAUAGGUUGACUAAAACAAAGCAAGUUAAUUCAAAGGAUAAUGAUGAUAUACUUUUCGGUGCAAAGUAUCUUCGAAGAACAACUAGGGUGAUUGUGAUUAAGAAGUAACUGUAUCCAGCAUUUGUGUUGUUGCGUAGAUGAGUAGUUGGUGCUUCAAUUAAUGAGAGCAUUUUUUUUUUUUUAUUAAGCUUAAUAGGUGAGGGGGUGCCAACCAUGGGCUAUUUGUGACAGCAAAUAUUCUUUCGGUGGCAUGAAUUUGUGAUCCCAACUCCUAACGCAUUCUCCCUUCAUCAAAGACGUUCUCAACCGUCAAAAAUAUGCCACCCAACGCUCCUGAAUGGGACGCUGUGUUUCCUCUAAUUAAGAUGGAGGAAAAUGAUCAACAUUUUCGGGAGAACAAAAAAAAAAAAAAAACAGUAUAAUGGAAUGCAUUUAAUGUGAUGCAAGUUGCAAAGCUAAAUGCAUAGGGAUAUAUAUAUAUAUCCUAAAAUUUUCACAAAAGUAAAAUAGAGUAAAUCAAAAAGAAAAAUUAACAACAACAUAUUAAUAGCUUUUUCUUCUUAGAAUUUUGCUAACAGUUUCUUUCGGCACUAGCAGUAAGGGCUUUCAAUAUAAUCUCUCUCUUAUUUUGAAGUUUAAAAGACCAUUUCUGCAUCAUUUAAAUGUCAAAUUCUAGCCGCUGCCUUUUCAAGAUAGAAAUAAAAGAGUUUGUUGUUUCAAAAUGGUGGUGAAAAUUUCACACAAUACCUCAAUUACAGCAGAACAAGAUUAUUCAUGUUCUAUACUAGAGUAGAAGUACAUCUUUGAAGGAGGGAAGAUUCUUUAGGUUUCUUUCACAUUGGUGGAAAGGAGUCUUAAGCCUUACCGAAAUCUUCAAAUGAGGAGUAUGUUGUAAACUGGGGAACGAGAGUACUAUCAAAUUUUGAUUGGAUCACUGGUGUGGGAAGAGCACUUUGCAACUAGCUUUCCCGGAUGCGUACGAUAUGACGGAAUACAAGACCUUUAAAGUUAAGGAUUGUUUGGUGAGCGACGGCUGGAACUGGAGCAAGAUUCUAGGAGGCGAUAUUGCUAAUAGGCAGAGUGUGAGUUCUAGCUUUUCUGCACUUAAGGAGCGGAUAUCUGUAUUCAAAGUUGAGCAGAGUCCAUACAGAAUUCUUUGGCAUUGGAACCCCGAUGGGCAUUUCACGGUAAGUCGACCUACUCAGCACUGAGUGACGGGGGUACGAAAAAUGCCGGAGCAAGCAAGAUCUGGAGACUUCGUAUACCCCUAAAAGUUAAAGUGUUCUGCUCGCUCAUCCUUAAGAAGAAAUUCCUCACAGUAGAUAACUUAUUGAAGAGAGGUUGGAUCGGAGACACAACCUGUGUGUUGUGCUGGGCUGAAGAGGAAACUGUUAAUCAUUUAUUCACCAUAUGCAUCUUUGCUAAAUUCAUAUUAGCGAUAACCGUGAAAGGUGUUCAGCCUAGGGAUUUGGGAGUGGACGUUAAUUUAGUCUAAGAUAUGUGGAUGGGUAGAAAAAGUUGGCAACCUAUGUGUAAUAGACUUUCUGAUGGGUAAUUGGGCGAUCAAAAGCUACACGAUCUUUAGAACAAUCUAGCCGGACCCCCUAAUUGCAAUCUACAAGGUUAAACAGUUAUCGAACUCUUGGGAACACCUUCUCUCGGCUAAUCACCACUUUCGCCAGCUGUAGUUUUUUUUUUCCUUUUAAUCCUGCCAUGUUCGAGGCCUCAAAUACCUCACCCAUAUAGCCUAAUUCAUUCUUUCAAUGAAUAAAAUGAAAAGCAUGUUAUCCUUUCUUUUAAAAAAAAAAAACAUAUGAGAAAAAUUUUGUCAUAUCAUAACCUUCAAAUAGGUUGGACAUCACAUCUAGAACAACAAAUAAUUGGUCCUACAACCACUACUUGCCGGUCGGAGGCUAUAAAUAUUUCACGUGGCUCAGUUUUCAAAAGCCUACUUGCAAAUUAGGUAGUAUUAUUUUUAUUUCUAUUCACCUUCCCUUUUUUUUUCCUUUUUUUGAAAAAAAUUUGGCAUUCACUCGAAACUCCAGGGACUAACAAUUACCUCAAAGCACUUGACAAUUGCAGCUAGUUAUAAAUUCCACUGGCUAGGGUUUCUUUGGGUAAAGGAACUUUAUAAUGAUCUAGAAAGAAUUGGUUAUGUUCAAUUAAUCAAUUAUUAGUGCAAUACCCCCUCAAUACACUUCAUCUCCAGUGAAAGAGACACAAGAACCACAAUAAGCAUAAUUAACAGAAGCAUAUUCAAUAAUUGUAACCGUGAUGGCAUCUAUUACCAGCUUGCAAGUGUUCAUCCUCUCAUUAGAAACAAACUUGAUCACAAUAAGCACUAAUAUAAAUCAGCAAGUUGCCAUCCUAUUUGCUUUCCAAAUCUAUUUAACAAAAAAGAAAAGAGAGCAUAAAAGCUCGCAAAAUUGUACGAUUUUGGAGGCGGAGUUAAUCUUACCAUAGAAUUUGAGACAUGCAAGUCGUAGUUACCUCUAUACUUGAGAAGACGGGGACUUUUUGCUGAGAAAUAUACAGAAAAAUUGCAAGAAGAAUAAGCUUUUCGAGCCAGCAAAACUGCUAGAUUUGUUCUCUCAUGCCUUUGGUCUGCUUCUUGCAGCUUUUGGCUUUCCACAAUCCCCAAAUAAUGAGAGACGGCCCGUCUUAUGUGAUCUUACAUGGACUCCUUGCUUCACCUGCUUUUAGCAAAGAAUUUGGUGUAAGUUGAAACUUGCGGCCAACAAUAAAAAUAUAAAUGAGAAAUACAACAGAUUUUCUACCUUCUUUCCAUGUGAAUUAUUGGUUUUCCAACAAAGGAGACCGUUACAGUUAGGUCCAGACUCGUAACCCCUGUAAAUCAAACCACAAAUUAAAUACUAGAAAUCCCAACUUUAGAUGAACUCUGUCAAGUUGCUGAAUAUUCUUUAAACCCAAAUAAAUCCAGUAAAGUCAAUUUGCUAAAAUCUGAAUGAUGCUUAGGACUAAAUAAUCGACUCCCAAUUUACUAUGAAGGAAUCGUACGCAUCUCUUAAGCAUACACCAAUGAGCUGGUUAAGAAUCAGCAGAUAAUGAAAAACAUGGUCUGGUUAGACCAACAUGAUAAUGAGGAUUUUAUGGCAUAUAGUUCCCACGACAUUGAUCACAAUGUUCAAAACAAAUUUGAAUUUCUCAGCAAAAUAAUGAGCAAAAUAAUGGAUGGAUGUAAAAGCUUUUGGUGAACAACUUACUGGCUCUCUUUAUCAAAAUUGGCCGGUGCGUAGUUGGCGCUGUGAAGCAAACUUGGUGAAAUGGCAUAUCCAUUCCCUUUACCUCCCACAUGAUCUUUCUUGUGGCAUUGGGUAUUGCUGAUUUUUAAAGCUUUGAUCUCACAAUCCUGCUCCUCUUCCCAACACUUCGAGGAUACAGCAAGUGUGAUCGACUUAUUACGAUUCUGACCUACACCAUUUUGUGGGAGAACUUGGUUCUUCUCGGGCUUUGGAUGACUUAAAAACCCAGGUGUGCAUUUCUCUGCAGCUUGAAGCCAUGCACUCUCUAACCUUUGCUCAUCAACAGAUGCCGAUUUUGCCCUUUGUCCUGAAACUUCAUUCUCUCUGCUGUUGAUGCCUCCUUCAGAAUGAUCAGAGUUCCUCCUAGGCAAGUUGGGGGGUUCCUUGAGUCUCUCACUAUUUGAUGAGCCACAGAGCAAAUCAGAAUCUAAUCGCCUUUCCUUAGCAAAAGAUUUAAACUUUUCUGUUUGGUUCGUGGCACGAGAAUUCUGUUCUAGGUUUUGCCUCUCAACAAAAAUUUCAGGCAUUAGACCUAUUCUAACCUCCACAGUGUAUUUCAAGACUGUCUCUAACGAGUUUGUGAUACUGCUCAAGAAUCUCUCUGCUCUAGACUUGACAUUAUCAUCCUCGAAUGCUAUGAAAGCGAUCAAGACACCUGAAACAACGAAUUUAGUGAUUGAAAGAAUUUCGAGAUUGAAACAAGUGAACCAGCAGUCUUAUGUCUAACAAAAUAAGAAAAUGCCACCCCAGGGAAUAACAAAUUCAUUAAGUUAGGAUUUGACCAACAAAAGUGAUUCUGUAAAUCUACCAGAAAUUAAUUUAAUAGAAGGAAACUAAGAGGAUAUAUUGAUGUGUUGAUGGAUUAGAAGAUCACCAACAACAAAAAUUCAUAAUUCAAUUAUUUUCUGGUGUAGCGCUGUGAUCAAAUAUCUAAUUAUUGAUAAGAACGCUUUUAUGUUGCUAACAAAGCUUGUAUAAUAACCAAAGCUUACCGUCACAUUCACUUAUCGAUAGUAGCUUUCCAAAAUCAGAAAGCAACUGCCGCAGUGUCUUUGAAUGACAUCUAUCUAUGCAUCUUCUCCAUAUCUCAGCCAACUUGUCUGGGUUCACACAUUUCAAAAUUCUCUUUUCGGAGGUAUCACUCGUCUGAGAAAAUUCCGGUAAUGGUUUAUCAACAGAUCUGGAAUCCGCAGCCAAAUUUUCACUUUUACUAGAGGUAUCAUUCGAUCUUCUCCUAUAUGAGGGGAGGCCAUGAGGAGUGGAAUGCCCACUAGUUGUUCUAGGACCCAGAGUAGAUUUUGAUUCACGAAAGGUGAGGAGAGGAUGAGAAGUAUUCCUUCCAAUCGAGUCUCUGGCAGAUUCUGUGGGUCCAUUAUUAAUCUUUUUAGCACUCUGUUCUGAAUUUUGGUUCGAACCAAGCUGUAGUAGCGCUGCGGUGAACCAUGUACAGCGUUCACUUGAAAGCCUAAGCUGUUUUUCGGCAUCGGAAAGGAUCUUCAAAGCUUGUUGUAGUCUCUCCAACUCAGCUUCAGUUACUAUAUGAGAAGAAUAACAGGUAAUGAAAUAGCGUCAGGCAUCAGAACAUCACUGCAGAACUACUAAUACAAGCAGCACGUAUAAAAAUUAACUGCGGACAUGAAUAAUACAAAAUAAGAGCAUAUCAUAGAUUAGUAAUAUAAGGAAGUCCUCGUGGUAAAGGAAAAUUUGUCCAAUAGUACACUAGGUUUAUUUACAGCUCGACAAGUUAGGGGUUAAAAAUUUGACAAGUUGUCCAAGAAGCCAAACGUUCAAAAUAUCAAAGGAUAAUUUAUGAUGAUGUAAUGAAGACCAACCAAUUGUUUAUGCAUUUAUAGCACUUCAGUUCAAUGAGAAACUGGCAUUUUGAUUGAGGAGCAGGAAUGAAUCAAAGAGGACAACUGAGACUCCAAGCGGCUCAGGCUUCAGACAUUAACAAGUGAACUGAUGUUACAAAUGCCCCCAGGACUGCAUUGGUUUGCUAGAUUUAUUUCCUCCUAAAUGAUUUCACGAAUAGGUCAAAACUCAUUAAACAACAUUCUCCCAUUUACAUACAAUUUUAUUCUGCAAACUAUAAUGCACUUUUCCUGAUAGGAAACUCAACAACAAUAACCACCACAAGCUGCUAAAAAUAACAGUAAACAUAAAAUAUGUACUAUCCCUUUCAGUUUGCACACCCCUACGUGGUUAGGAAUCGCGCAUCCAAAAGUGAAAAAAACUGGCUAGAAUCAAAAGCUCAGCAUGCUAUGCAAUAAACCAGAUAUGAAGCCUUUCCUAAGGGAAACAAAUGAUAACAAAGUACUCACAAUUUCGCCCAGUAAGAGCUGUACCACUACAUCGAGAGUUGGCUAGCUGAUGAGUUCCAGCAAUAAUGUCCAUUAUCAGCCCAGCUAAUUGAGACAUCAAGGCAAUUGGAUCAACACCAGAAUCCAUCAGCUCUCUGGACUUCUUUACCGUCUCAGCAGUGUCUGAUGACAUAGCUAUCUCUAAUAGGUCAAGUAACUUCUCAUCUGAGACAACCCCAACCUGGAUAUGCAUAUAAUUUUUGAAGUUAAAUUGCGACAGACAUAGUAGCUAAAUCUAAUUAAAUGAUCAAAAAAAGGAUGCCAAAGUAAAUAGUCUGCUAUUGCUGAUUGAUAUGGAAUACGAAGGGCUAACAGUGCACAUUUCCACAAAGCAACUAGUCAAAAUGACCUUUAGUUUCACCUGUAAAGUAACUCAGAAAACUAUGAAUUAUUAAAGAAUCUACUUACAAGGAAAUCAAAGAGCCUUUAGGAAAAAAAAUAAAAGCAAGAAAAUAGAGACUCUAACUAACUUUCUCAUCACUUCUCACACCAGAUCAUUCUUACUUCACUAGACCUAGUAAAAAAGAAAAGCAGGACUCUGAUAAGCAAAUUUGUAAAAGAAUUUUUAGUUCAAUGGUAAAAAGAAAAAGGAAUCAGAAACAUAUGUAGACAAAUAACUCAGAGGCAAACUUACUAGAUCAUUCACAAGAGAUGUGGUUAUCUUUUUCCCCAGCAAACUCAAUUGAUCUAACAUCGUUUCUGCAUCACGUAGUGAUCCAUCUGAGUUCAGAGCAAUUAAAUCCAAAGCAUCUGAUUCAACAUCAAGAUUUUCUUCCACACAGAGUUUUCUCAACCGACAAGCUAUAUCGACAUCUUUGAUCUUAGAAAAUAUGAACUUUUGACAUCUUGAAAUGAUCGCACGCGGCAAGUUCUCAGGAUUAAUUGUUAUGAAUAUGAAGACAACAUUAGCUAAUGGCUCAUCAAGAAAUUUUAUGAAUGCUGACCACAUUUUGGAAGACAACAUGUGGCAUUCUUCAAUGACAAAGACUUUAUACCGGGAGUGAGUUGCAAUCGUUGAUAUGUUUUUCAAUAAGUAUCUAACUUUUCCGAGGCCACUCUUAUUAGUAGCAUCCACUUCAAUUAGAUUCAUUCCAUUUCCAUUCAAAGAAUUAGCACACUCUUUACAGAGCCGGCACGGUUUGUUUUCUUCAGUGGCAAGACAGUUUAAAGAUGCUGCAAAUAUUCUCGCCACUGAUGUUUUCCCAGUCCCACGAGGACCUUGAAACAAAUAUGCAGGGGCUAUUCUUCCCCUUAUAAUAGCAUUGUUAAGUGACUGAGCAACAAUAUUUUGGCCAACUACUUCGUCAAAAGUCUUUAGCCUGUACUUUUGACUUAAGCUUCUCUGCUCAGUAAGCUCCAUAUCUGAUCCUCGACGUGAAGCUACUUCAAUUCCCUCCUGGCUUCUACAGCUAGACCAUCUCCUCCCAUCCAAACGGCUUACAGCUUCCAAAUCAAGCUCCCCAAAGUUAGCAGAAAGCUCAUCACUUGCUGAAUCAAAUGAUGAACUACCCUCGUCACAGUUAUUCAUCAAGAGAGGCAAUCCUUGGGACGAUUUUUCCAGAUAUUUUCUCUUAAUAGACGAUCUCUUCUUAUUAUACAAUGACUGGCCCCCACAAAGAAUGCUGCUGCCCUUUCUCCUCAGAGUAUCUGAUAGUGAAGGAGAAUAACAACCGCCGCAUCCGCUCUCUUUAGUCUUUUUUGACCAAUAGCAAGGGAUGCCACAACCCUGACGCCUUGCUAAAGCUAGUUGAUCCAAUUCAUCUCCAUCAAAAGAACCAAUGGUGCUAGGGCAUCCAUAACGGUAAUAAGAGUUAGUUGAAGCAGGCGUACAAGAAUGAGAAGAUCCCUCUCUUCUAUUUCUUCUGAGUAUUUUUGAGGAAUUUGACCAAUUCCCGCAUCCCGACGCAGAGAGUAAUGGUGAAGCAGAGCGAGAAAAGUAAGCACCUUUUCGGGUGAGUUCGUGAGUCAACCUCUGCAAAUCUGCAGAGUUGCAGUUCUCUGUAUCAUCGGACUGCUCGCCUGAUUUGGAAAUUCCUAAUGAGCUGGAAGGGAGAUCGAGCAGCUUUGAAACCAUUGAAUGUUUAAUUGCUCCUUUUUUCGAAAUCGAAUUUCUUCUCAAUUUUCUAACACUUGUUUUUACUGGAGUCACGGAAUUUGACCCCCCAACACUGUAGAUCUUCACUGGGACCUCGAGAUACGUAUCACUCUUAGAUUCUACAUCAUGAGAGUUGCUUAAACUCGGGCUUCCCUCAACUGAAGCUGCCAUGCCGUCCCCAUUUAUCUUUAGUUCACUAUCGCUAGAUUUAUUAGAUUGAUUCCUCCAGUUAUAGAGAUAUACUUUUUUCCUUCUGUAUUCACUUCGUGGAGGCAACGCGAGUGAAUAAGCACCAUCUUUCUGUGUCGUGUAGCCUCCAAUUCCAUUUGCAUAAGGAAUAUUAGAAGUCACAGUAAGUGAUUUGGAACUCAAAGGAGACCUCCAAGAUGAACAAGUUUCAGGGUCACGUAAAAAGCGGGCCUUCUGAAGGGCAGUUAACUCUUUCUUCAAGUGAAGCUCACUCGGACCAACACAGCCUUCCACCAUUAUAUCUUAAGAAUUAAAUAGCAGGGAGGGAGCUGCGGAUCAAACACAUAAAGCAAGCCGUUGAACAAGAUAUAUUUUGUGCACAGCAGUAACACCUUUACUCUGCAACAACAAAUCAACAUCAGAAAACAAGUUAAACAUUAUAAACCAGACCAAUAAUAUUAAACAAUAGCAAAAGAAGCAUAUCAGUAGCAUGCAUAAUCACACUAUAUACUAAAAGGAUAUACAAAACCAUUAUAUUAAAAUGCUGAACAUACUCUGAAUAAACAAUAGGGACCCAAUGAAGAAUAUAUAUCUCUCCAAUGGGCCAUUGUCAAAAUUUGAUGUCUAACAUGAAAUCGCAAUAUGAGAAAUUGAGAUAGAGUGAGGCAACUUUUGCUAUAUGACUGCCCAUAUCAGACAAGCAGUGUGGCACAAUCAUCAAAAAAUAAGCAAACCAAACUGAAGGCUUACAUCUAGCUGUUAGUGAUCAUCAGAUUUUAUUGCGGUUUUAUUAGCAAUAACAAGGGAUGCUGAACUAAUGGUGCAAAAGUUGCUUUAAUCUUCAACGCAUAAUCACAUGGAAAAAAAAAAGGGGAAAGAAAAGAAAAGUUGAAAUAUAUGUGCUUUCGAGCAGGUUGAGAAAGUUGAAGGAGACAGCUAACAUUUGACUCAGAAUGGAUCCCACAAACAGGAAAUCGGAUAUCAAAAUAAGAGACGAGUAACAAUAGAGAAAAGAUCCUAUUUCAAGCAUGAGCAAUCAAAUGUAGGUCAAAGGAAAACAAAAAAAUGGGGCUUUUUUCCUACACACAGGUAUCACAUUGCAAACAAAUGGAAAAAAAAAAAAAAAUCCAACAAGCAGAGAUAUCACAAAAUUUUCAAGAAAGAGAAAAAUCUCAAACUGCACAAAUGAUAACUUGUCAAAAGCGAAGGAAGUGAACAAAUAUCUAGAAGCAUCUUGACAAGCAUGAUAGCUCGCAGGGUAGAACAAUGGAGAAAGCAUGAAAACAUAGUAAACCUUAAAAUGUGAAUGUGCCCCUAAGCCCCUCUCACAUAAACUAUAUGCAAGUGGACAAUUCAAGUUGCAUGAACUUGCGACAAAUUCAGUAUGCACAGAUUCAGCAACUUGGUAGAUCCAUUCACCCAAUUGACUCAAAAAUGAACAAAAAUGGAUAGUCACAGAAAUGAUAACUGAAGAAUGAAAACUCGAACUAGUAAGAUUUGCUAGAAUUGCAAGAAGAUCGAGGGAGACACACAAAUUAACCAAAACUUCAGAAACAAAAAAAAGGAGAUCUUGAGGAAGACUAAAGAUAAGAGAACUGGAGAUAUAGUGUGAGCAUGCUACAAACCCACUCAAAACUUGGUAAUUAAAGCAAAUCAAUAGCUGCAUUCACCACUAUGAUUUAUCAGUAAGUACAAUACUUGAAAACCCAAUUUCAAAACAAGAUAACAAGCCCAGGAAAAGCACCAAAAAGGAUCACAAAAACCAAAGAAAAUCGAACUUGAACUUAUACAAGGAAUUAUUCGCCGAUCAUCACCAUAGUACGACUGAAUCAUCGAAAUUAAGCAAGAGCACACUCAAAUCACCUGCCACAUCAAACCAAAAACCAUCACGUAGCCAUAUUUAGCCACCAAAAGCCCAAAUGGUCCCCGAUUGGUGCCAAAUCAAGUCGAAUAUACCCUUCACGGAGCAUCACGAGCAACAAUACCCAUGAUUACGAUAAUGGAGCAUAAAAAAGGCACCUUUGUGGGGGAAAAACUUACAGGAAUCUUCGCGGAUCCGAGAAGAUGAAGAGGACGCAGCGGAGAAAUAGGAAAGUGAGCAACGAGGGAGUGAUAUUAGGGGUCAAAUGUUGAGAGAGAUAGAGAGAGAGAGAGAGAGAGAGGGAGAUGGGGAGUGUAUAAAUUUUUUUUUCUGUGGCUUUUUUACAGUUGGAAAAAAAGGGUGAUGGGAUUUAUCGUUUUAUAGCUGUAAUUAAAUUGGUAAUUAUUUAAUUUUAGGGGUUUAAUAAUUUAAUUUAGGGUUUUGAGCUGGCGCCGCUCCGACACGCCAAAAUCGAAAAAAGAAGAACCCAAACCCGCCAAGAUUCCCAUGUGGCUGUCUAAUAGUUGUCAAAAUAUUUGGAAAUUUUGCACCAAGGUACGCGUUCAAUUGCAAAAUAAUACCUGGCCCCCAUGUCCUUCUUUUAAAUCGUGUAUAUUUUGGACUUUUUUGUUGUAAAAUUAAUAGUCGGGAUUGGGAUUAAAAAUCUAAAAGUCUAGAUGUUUUACUGAAAAUGGCUCAUAAUUAUCAUAAUUUUGUUCUUAGCUCUAAAAUUUGUCUUAAAGAUACAGCAUCUGAUAUGACACAUAUAAACAAAUUAAGAUGUUUCACAUAUGCUGUGUUUAUGAUUUUAAUGUACUCCAUCGUCUAUCAAAAUAUGAAAUCAAUCUCUGCCACUCUAUUUCACAUUUUGCCGGACCUUCUAAUGGCUGCUAUUGUUGGAGAUCAAUUUCAUCUUUUUGAAUAGACAAUCUAUAUCCAUAAAUAUGAGCUUUAAUUAUUAAGAUUUAUUCUUAAAAAAAAAAAAACAGAGAAAAAUGAGCACUGUUAAAAGUUGCUUCAGUACAACUAGAUAUUCCAGAUGAUCAUUUCUCUUUUGUGCUAUUUUAAAUGCUGCACCAUCACUUUGCACCAUCUUAUAAAGUUCAUGUAUCUAAAUGUGAACACAUGAAAACUGAAAGAUCCAAUUUUACAUUUUGCCAUUAAUGAAAAUGAUUAUAAAAAUAAAAAAAGGAAAAUAAUGGACCAACCUUGUGACAGGUCCCAGUGGUUAUUGCCGAGUGUAGCCAACAUAUGCCUUUUUUGGCUUUUCUACCAAUACCGGGAUGCUAUUCAAAAUUUUGAGAAGUUUUUUUUUUUUUUUUUUUCUCAUCUUGAUCUCAAUGAUGAGUUCAAAAAAAAUUCAUUUCAUUUAAUUUUUUUGAGUAUAGGUUUAGAACAUUUUAAAUGAAAUGGUUAACCUUUAAAUUUUGAAACGAUGUUUAUAUUUUAAUUUUUUCCAGAACAAGGAUAGUAAACUAAUUAGUGAUAAAAGGAGAUUUGUCUUUUCACCAACAGUGUAGCUUGUAGGAGGGUAAUAAAGCGCAACAACACUGGAGAAUCAAUUCAAACUUAUCACUCCAAAUUUAUCAAUAGGGACCAAUGUAAUAACUAGCACUGGUUUCACACUAAAAAGAGUGGUUGAGGUUACUUAAAUUGAGGAAAUGCUAAGUCCCCAAUAUACUCGACACAUGCAUUUGACAGUUUAUGUGCUUUAAUUGAUGGAAGCAGCGGUGGCUGAGCUUACCAUAAAUUUCAUUUAUAAAUUUUUAAUUUGUACAGGCUUUUAAAUCACACCACUUAUCGAUUUUAUACGCAUGUUGAAUAUUAUAGAUAGAGGAGUGCUCUUACAACAUCAUAACAAAUAAAUCACACGAUUUAAUCUGCUAGUCUGCAUGCAUCCUCAUCGAUCGGCCAUCUCAUAAAAGGAGGCAUUUUCUUUCUCCAUCUAAUAUCAUAAUCAACAAAUUAGGAAGCCGUUUUACUGAAACCCACAUGUAAAAUGACAUUUAAAUCAAAUAAGAAUCAUUUGAGACACGUGCAGGUAUCACAUCGGACAUCGAAAGCUAAUCUUAGGAACAGUUGUCUUAAAACCAUUUUGCUAAGACGACCAUAAUGGUGGUAAAGGUGGUGUAAACUUAGUUAGAUGCUAUUUUAGCGUAAUUGAUUCACAUCAAAUUGGGGGCUACAAUGAAGAUAUAAGAGACUCAUUAGGGGAAACAUUCUUAAGUAAAGCAUUUAAUAUAGGGCCUACUUGUUUUUGAUCCAUCUCUAUCUUGUUUGGUGAUCUAGGUCUCUGACCAUGUGAGGGUUGUGUACUUGUGAUUGGCAUUUAUCUAUCCUGCAUGUAUGAGUUCUCAUUAGUGGCAGAAUAAGCACAUGAAGCCAUGCAAAAUGACAUCCCUUCUCUAGUUGUCCUCUCAUGUAUAUCUCUCCUCACUUUGUUGGAUUCGUUCUUAAUGGGUCCCUUAUUUGUGUUCCAGGUGAAUAUCAAAAUCAAUUAUCCAUGGCUAAGCUUGGUGAGCCAUGGUUAAUAAGUCAUAUUAAGUUCCGAUAAAAUUCUAUUCGACAUGUAAUUGUAAUUUACUAGUCAUGCAUCAAACCCACAGAAUUCGAUCUAUGUUCUGAAUUUGAUAUGUUAUAGUCGAUUAAAUUGUAACGCCCUAAUAGUCCCAUAUCGGGUGAAAAACUGAUUUUGAUUACAAUAUUUGAGGUUUACACGCUAGAUAAAAAUUGGGCUUAAGUAUUUUGGGUCUGUGAUUUGACCUAACGAGUUAGUAUUAUUUGCUAGCGGGUAGGUUGUUACAAUUGGUAUUAGAGUUGAAUACCAGCCGAAAGUGUGAGAGCUAAAUGCUAUGCGGGGCAAAGUACUACACCAAUAAAUUUGGUGGGAGCCCGCUUAUGUGGGGCAAAGUGAAAGUGCUGCACUAACGGAUUUGAUGAGGGCCAUCUCUUGAACCCAUUGUAUCAAAGCUGAAUACCAGCUAUAAAUGUGAGAGCUAAAUGUUAUGCGGGGCAAAGUACUACACCAACGAAUUUGGUGGGAGCUACCUUUAGAAUCUCACAUCGUCUAAUAAUUUUGGUCAUAAUUUGUCUGUUUGUGAUUUCGUUUGGACCCGACAAGGACGUCCGUAGGAGUGAUAAUUUUGGUUCUGAUCUGUCUUUCUGUGAUUUAGUUUGGACCCGACGAGUACAUUAGAAUCUAAAUUGGAAAACUGAUUUUGAUUAGAAUAUAUAAGGCCUACACACUAGUAAUAAAAGCUGGGCUUAAAUAUUUUGGACCGGUGAUUUGGGCCCAACAAAUUAUUAUUGUUAGUGGGUCAAGUCGUUGCGUAAAUUCUCUAUUGAAUUUAACUUAUUAUUGAUUUGAUUUUGUAGAUGGCUUUAGGUUCUAUACUAAAAAUUAGUCUUUUAUCUAUUGGUGUAGUUCUGAAGAGAUAAAAUUUUAAGAAUUUAUACACAUGGUGAAACCCUUCUUUUUUGUCCCAGUUUUGCCUUUAUGUAUAGACAUUCCUGUUGAUGCAUGUCUUUUUUUUUUGUUGAUACAAAAUCGGGUAGAUUUAUCAAUUGAAUAGACAUGUAAAUGGAGCUGUACAUACUCAAAUGUAGACCCUUUAUGUAGAACUUAAUUAUAAUAUUUCGAUACUUAAUAAUGCUCUCUCUCUCUCUCUCUCUCUCUCUCUCUCUCUCUCUCUCUCUCUCUCUCUCUCUCUCUGAUGGAACAUCACUAUGGGGGGAAAAUCAAACCUAACGCCAAAGGAAAAAGACAAAUUCAUGAAACAACUUUUACCUGAAUAUAUGUGGGUAAAAGCUAGUUACAUAUACAUAUAUAGGAUCUUCAUUAGCAUGUGGGGUAUGUCCCCCUAUAGGCAAUCAUGGUCUUAAUAGCGCCAUUUGACUUCUUAUUUUAUAACACUUAUGUCAUAUCCAAAGGCAAACCAUGAACUUGAAUAUUAAAACCAAAUUAUUAAUUAAAUUUAUCCUUUAACUGUGGAGAUGAGAUCAUUUUAAAAAGACAAGGGACCUUUGUGUUUAGCUUAGGAUCUGUGUGCAUGCAUAACCUCAGCGGCACCAUGUGAAAGCACCACAAAAUUGUGCCUAACCAUGAAUAUAUAUAUAUAUAUAGAGAGAGAGAGAGAGUUCGGCUAUAAUGCUUUUAACAGUACCAAGUAUUUGGUAUUUGUAAUUUAUUCACCGAUAGAUCCAUUCGUUUGAUCAAUUCCGUCUUUUAGAUUAUGUUAUUCUACUAACCAUCCAUUCAACCUUAGAGGAUUAUUAUUAUCCUAAUUCUAUAAAUCUUCAUCUAAAGGCCGAAAACCUACAAACACCAAUGACUCGGUGCUUUUAGUUGACCUUUUUUUUAUUCUUCUUACAUCUUGAAUGGUGAAAAUGAAGCAU